rnacentral:rRNA from 1 species
AUUAAACUGGAGAGUUUGAUUCUGGCUCAGAUUGAACGCUGGCGGCGUGCCUAACACAUGCAAGUCGAACGCGAAAGUCUCUUCGGAGAUGAGUAGAGUGGCGCACGGGUGAGUAACGCGUGGAUUAUCUACCUACUGGUACGGGACAACAGUUGGAAACGACUGCUAAUACCGUAUACGCUGGUAACGGGAAAGGGGGCCUCUUCUUGAAAGCUCUCGCCAGUAGAUGAGUCCGCGUUUCAUUAGCUAGACGGUGGGGUAACGGCCUACCGUGGCAACGAUGAAUAGCAGGCCUGAGAGGGUGGCCUGCCACACUGGGACUGGAACACGGCCCAGACUCCUACGGGAGGCAGCAGUGGGGAAUAUUGCGCAAUGGACGAAAGUCUGACGCAGCGACGCCGCGUGGAGGAUGAAGGUUUUCGGAUCGUAAACUCCUGUCAAGAGGGAAGAAACCUAUCAAGACUAAUACUCUUAGUAAUUGACGGUACCUCUAGAGGAAGCACCGGCUAAUUCAGUGCCAGCAGCCGCGGUAAUACUGAAGGUGCAAGCGUUAAUCGGAAUCACUGGGCGUAAAGCGCUCGUAGGUGGCUUUGUAAGUCAGGUGUGAAAGCCCACGGCUCAACCGUGGAAUUGCACUUGAUACUGCAUCGCUAGAGUAUAGGAGAGGGAAGUGGAAUUUCUGGUGUAGGAGUGAAAUCCGUAGAGAUCAGAAGGAACACCCGUGGCGAAGGCGACUUCCUGGACUAUUACUGACACUGAGGAGCGAAAGCGUGGGGAGCAAACAGGAUUAGAUACCCUGGUAGUCCACGCCGUAAACGAUGGGUACUAGGUGUUGGGGGCUUGACCCUCGGUGCCGUAGUUAACGCGUUAAGUACCCCGCCUGGGGAGUACGGUCGCAAGGCUGAAACUCAAAGAAAUUGACGGGGGCCCGCACAAGCGGUGGAGUAUGUGGUUUAAUUCGAUGCAACGCGAAGAACCUUACCCAGGCUUGACAUCCUGCGAAUGCCCAAGAAAUUAGGCAGUGCCCUUCGGGGAAUGCAGUGACAGGUGCUGCAUGGCUGUCGUCAGCUCGUGCCGUGAGGUGUUGGGUUAAGUCCCGCAACGAGCGCAACCCCUAUCCUUAGUUGCCACCAGGUAAUGCUGAGCACUCUAGGGAGACUGCCCGGGUUAACCGGGAGGAAGGUGGGGACGACGUCAAGUCAUCAUGGCCCUUACGCCUGGGGCUACACACGUACUACAAUGGUACAUACAAAGGGUUGCGAGACCGUGAGGUGGAGCUAAUCCCAAAAAGUGUAUCCCAGUCCGGAUAGGAGUCUGCAACUCGACUCCUUGAAGUCGGAAUCGCUAGUAAUCCCGGAUCAGCAUGCCGGGGUGAAUGCGUUCCCGGGCCUUGUACACACCGCCCGUCACACCACGAAAGUUGGUUCUACCCGAAACCAGUGAGCUAACCGGCAACGGAGGCAGCUGUCUACGGUGGGGCUGAUGAUUGGGGUGAAGUCGUAACAAGGUAGCCGUAGGGGAACCUGCGGCUGGAUCACCUCCUUUAAA